rfam:Salmo salar isolate Sally breed double haploid chromosome ssa28, whole genome shotgun sequence.
UGCAUUCACUACUGUUAGUUGCUCUGGAUAAGAGUGUCUGCUAAAUGACGUAAA